CCUACGGGCGGCAGCAGUGGGGAAUAUUGGACAAUGGGCGAAAGCCUGAUCCAGCCAUGCCGCGUGUGUGAAGAAGGCCUUCGGGUUGUAAAGCACUUUCAGUGGGGAAGAAAGCCUUGGGGCUAAUACCCUCGAGGAAGGACAUCACCCACAGAAGAAGCACCGGCUAACUCCGUGCCAGCAGCCGCGGUAAUACGGAGGGUGCGAGCGUUAAUCGGAAUUACUGGGCGUAAAGCGCGCGUAGGCGGUCUGAUAAGCCGGUUGUGAAAGCCCCGGGCUCAACCUGGGAACGGCAUCCGGAACUGUCAGGCUAGAGUGCAGGAGAGGAAGGUAGAAUUCCCGGUGUAGCAGUGAAAUGCGUAGAGAUCGGGAGGAAUACCAGUGGCGAAGGCGGCCUUCUGGACUGACACUGACGCUGAGGUGCGAAAGUGUGGGUAGCAAACAGGAUUAGAUACCCGGGUAGUC
rnacentral:rRNA from 1 species